AAUCACCUUUCACUUGCCCACGGUACGCACUUUACUCCUCAUCCACUAGAAUAGGAUAGGAAAAGACUGUCUAAACUGCAUUAGGAACGUCGCCCACACUCUGAUAUUCCCGAUGGGUUCCGGAAAUUUUUCUGCGGCCAAACGGGGCUUUCCCUGAUGAGUUCCGAAACGUAACAAAGCCUGGAUUGCAAGGAUGGAACCAUGUUUCCGAAGAGGAGGAGACGAGAGAUGAGGCAACAGGAGAGAUGGAGAGAGGAGGCAGGAGGAGUGCAGAGAGAGGGAGAUGCAGGAGAGAUGGAAAAAGAGGAGGCAGGAGGAGAGCAGAGAGAGGAGACGGCAGGAGAGAUGGAGAGAGAAGAAGCAGGAGAAGAGAAUAGAGGAGAAGGGGCAGAGAUAGCAGUGGCAGGACAAGAGGGUGAAGAAGAAAAGUCAAAAGAGGACCAGACGGCUUCCAAGAAAGAAAUAUACUCUGUACUUUGUGACUGAAAGUAAACAAAUAUUUUUACAAAA